rnacentral:rRNA from 1 species
ACGCUCGACACCUACGGGAAGCAGCAGUGGGGAAUAUUGCACAAUGGGGGAAACCCUGAUGCAGCGACGCCGCGUGAAGGAAGAAGUAUCUCGGUAUGUAAACUUCUAUCAGCAGGGAAGAAAGUGACGGUACCUGACUAAGAAGCCCCGGCUAAUUACGUGCCAGCAGCCGCGGUAAUCUGAGCGGGCUGGCAAGGC